rnacentral:misc_RNA from 1 species
AUUUUAAUCCUAAAAGUAAAUUAAUAGCAACUUAAUCUAAUCUCUACUAAGAUCAUAAAAAGCACUUUCUACGAUAUAAAAAUUAAAACAAGUAGGAAAGCUGGUUUUCUAUUUUACAAAAAUUUUCUGAAAAUCCACGUUUAUUUCCAGACUCUAAUCUUUGCCAGCGGCUAAUCUAUUUUUAUCGAAACAUGCGUACGUAAACGGGAACCCUAUCUUCCCAACGGAAACGCUACUGCUAAGGACAAAAAAAGGAUUAGAUAAGAUCGGGAAACAGAAACAGCAAUUUACGUGUUUCCGCGACUCCUAGUAUAUCUAGUCCCGAUCGUUCGAUUCAAUUAUUUCUUACGGUUAUUUUAUGUAAGACAGCUUUUAGAAAGCGUUAGAUUUGUUCGAAUAGUUUCUUCAGUUUUCCAAUCCGUUUUAGGACGCCAUAAUGACCGUUAAUCGCUAAUUUAAUUUUAACUCAACUGGUAACAAGCGUUUCAAGAUCGGUAAUGGAGAAAAUUGUUGAAGUUUGAUAAC